rnacentral:tRNA from 1 species
GCCUUUGUAGCUCAGUGGUUAAGCAUUUGGCUGCUAACCAAAAGGUCAGCGGCU